UUGAAGUCUGCAAUCAUUGUCUAUUGACAGUUUCCAAAAAUUUGAGGAGUUUCCAACUAACCACAGGUUGAUUCCAGAGAAAUUUGGACAUUGAUUUAUUGUAAAGCCUUAUCCACUGCUCUAAGGAGGCAAGAGACAGAGGACAAACAGAUUAUUUCCCAGAAACAAAGAGAUUGAGAAGCUGACAGAGAAGAACAGAAGUAGAGCAAGAAACAGGCACAAAG